AGUGAACGCUGGCGGUAGGCCUAACACAUGCAAGUCGAACGGCAGCACAGUAAGAGCUUGCUCUUACGGGUGGCGAGUGGCGGACGGGUGAGGAAUACAUCGGAAUCUACUUUUUCGUGGGGGAUAACGUAGGGAAACUUACGCUAAUACCGCAUACGACCUACGGGUGAAAGCAGGGGAUCUUCGGACCUUGCGCGAUUGAAUGAGCCGAUGUCGGAUUAGCUAGUUGGCGGGGUAAAGGCCCACCAAGGCGACGAUCCGUAGCUGGUCUGAGAGGAUGAUCAGCCACACUGGAACUGAGACACGGUCCAGACUCCUACGGGAAGCAGCAGUGGGGAAUAUUGGACAAUAGGCGCAAGGCUGAUCCAGCCAUACCGCGUGGGUGAAGGAGGCCUUCGGGUUGGAAAGCCCUUUUGUUGGGAAAGAAAAGCAGCAGGUUAAUACCCCGCUGUUCUGACGGUACCCAAAGAAUAAGCACCGGCUAACUUCGUG
rnacentral:rRNA from 1 species